GUNGCNCUGAUGGNAACNUAGGAACUUCUGCUAUCCCGGAUGAGCCGGAGGUCAAAGAUUUAUCGCCUAGAGAUGAGCUCGCGUCUGAUUAGCUAGUUGGUAAGGUAAAAGCUUACCAAGGCAACGAUCAGUAGCUGGUCUGAGAGGAUGAUCAGCCACACUGGGACUGAGACACGGCCCAUACUCCUACGGGAGGCAGCAGUGGGGAAUUUUCCGCAUUGGGCGCAAGCCUGACGGAGCAAGACCGCGUGGGGGAGGAAGGCUCUUGGGUUGUAAACCCCUUUUCUCAGGGAAGAACCAAAUGACGGUACCUGAGGAAUCAGCCUCGGCUAACUCCGUGCCAGCAGCCGCGGUAAUACGGAGGAGGCAAGCGUUAUCCGGAAUGAUUGGGCGUAAAGCGUUCGUAGGUGGCUAUUCAAGUCUGCUGUCAAAGACAGAAGCUCAACUUCUGAAAGGCAGUGGAAACUGAGUACCUGGAGUGCGGUAGGGGCAGAGGGAAUUCCCGGUGUAGCGGUGAAAUGCGUANAGAUCGGGAAGAACACCGGUGGCGAAAGCGCUCUGCUGGGCCGCAACUGACACUGAGGGACGAAAGCUAGGGGAGCGAAUGGGAUUAGAUACCCCCAUUUUUCCACCGCGUUACCCCCCCCNUCCGG
rnacentral:rRNA from 1 species